rnacentral:tRNA from 1 species
GCCCAGGUAGCUCAGUUGGUAGAGCAGGGGACUGAAAAUCCCCGUGUCGGCAGUUCAAUUCUGUCCCUGGGCACCA